UACGUAGGGGGCAAGCGUUGUCCGGAUUUAUUGGGCGUAAAGAGCAUGUAGGCGGCUUGGCAGGUCCGCUGUGAAAACUCGAGGCUCAACCUCGAGAUGUCGGCGGAAACCACUUGGCUAGAGUCCGGAAGAGGAGAGUGGAAUUCCCGGUGUAGCGGUGAAAUGCGCAGAUAUCGGGAAGAACACCUAUGGCGAAGGCAGCUCUCUGGGACGGUACUGACGCUGAGACGCGAAAGCGUGGGGAGCGAACAGG
rnacentral:rRNA from 1 species